AAAUUUUAUUGUGCAAUUCAAUAUAAUUUGAAUUAAGAUAAUAUUCUUACAUAAUUUAUUAUUGUUAAU
rnacentral:tRNA from 1 species